AUCGCUUCUCGGCCUUUUGGCUAAGAUCAAGUGUAGUAUCUGUUCUUAUCAGUUUAAUAUCUGAUACGUCCUCUAUCUGAGGACAACAUAUUAAAUGUAUUUUUGCGAGUGGGAGUUGGACUAGGAGCUUGCUCCAAAAAAAAAAAAAAGAAAAAUGGGAAAAAAGUGAGGUUGUCAACGAUUUCUUCUUGCUU